rnacentral:lncRNA from 1 species
CUAGGUUGAAUACCCAAGUAAUAAGCAAAAUAUUACGAAUCAAAUCAUAGAUAGGACCCAUGGUCAAACAAAUAUUUGCAUUCUUUCAUAAACAUGCAUAAUACCUUCGACUACUAAUUCAGAAGUUUUAGAAUCAUAUUCAGUGAUAGCAUACACUCUGACAUGGGCUGAUGAUUUAGGAGGCAGUGACUCUUUCUUCUUGUUCAAAGGGCAGUCUUUUAUUUUAUGAUCCAACUUUCCAUAAGCAAAAUAGACUCCAAUCACCCGAAAACAUAAAUUUGUUUCAUAAUUUAAUUUGUAAUUCACACAUGAUUGAGUCUUUUGUGGUGACUUCCCAUUUCAAAUCCAAAUGUCUUGACCCUUUUGUUAUUACUUUCUGAUUCAUUUCCAAUCAUAUUUUUAUUAGUAAACUUGUCCUUAUCAUUCUUG